rnacentral:lncRNA from 1 species
AAGUGCUGUGGAUACUUCUUAAGACUUGGACAUUGGUAGCGAUGUUAUCCAGGUGCAGAGCAGUUGUGUGACAUCUGCAAGAUCUCAUUGCAUUUGGGCUUGGUUUAGGUUUUUAGAUUUUUUUAUUAACUUCUAUUGCUUAACUUAUUUAAAUGCUAGCCCAAAGCCAUGUAGGUAUGAAGUUUUUAUAGACCUAUCUGAAAUAUAGAUGUUGUAUACUACAUGCUGACCAUUACAUGGGAAAAAUAGUAAGGCCUUUCUAGCUUUCUGUUCUACACUUUCUUGCAAUCUUUAUCUGCAGCCUGUGUUACUGCUUGUGUGGCUGUUAUGGUUGGUUUUUCCAUUAUUUUCUUCUUCCUGGGGACCCACAGAGAGACCUUCCUUCUCAAGUGAAAUGCAAUGUUUAAUUCUAUUAUCUGCUUCAGCUCUGACCACAGAUCAUUAUUGUUCAAGAUCAUUUGCUCACUACUGCUGGUAUCUAAAAAUGGCAUAUUGUCUUCUAAUUCAGCCUACUCUAAUAAGCCUAUCUUGACAGUUGUCAUGAAAUACUGAUUGCUUUUGGUGAGUAGCAUAUACUGUAAUUAUUUCCUUUUCCUAUCAUGGUAUAAUAUAGCUGAGAUGCUCCAUACAUAGAAAUGCACCUUCAUAGAGUAUUCUAAUGUGCAUUGAUUUUUUUUUUUCUAAUUUUUUUUAUCAACAUAAUGAAAUGAUCCCCUUUCACAUCAUAGAGUAGCACAAUGCUUAUUGAUUUAUUGCUGUACCUAUUUACAUUGGCUUAUCAGAAAGGUGCUUCCAAUGCAUUAGCAAACCCCUGAAGUGCUUCUGGUAGUAUCAAAAUGUGCCUGGGCAACUGA